rnacentral:lncRNA from 1 species
UUUUGCCAGGUGAGGAUACAUAGGAGAAUUUCAAAAAUAUUGUGGCACUUAUUCCCGGCCUUCAUAGUCUGUGAUGAGAAAUCUGCUGCAAUUCAAGUUAUUUCUCCUCUACAGGUCAUCUGCUGCUGCUAUUGCAAGAGUUGGCUAUUGUACACCUACUACAGGGUCUGCUACUGAAGUCAUAUACACCGACAGAAGUACCUCCUCACCUGCCACUGCCAGCAUUAUUACUACUGUAGGAGUGCAUCUUAGUGAGCUGCCACCACUGAGGCUGGAGUCAAAAGAAGAAUGGCUAUUCCUUUCUUCUGCAUUACAAUCUUGCAGAAGUACUUCCCAUUGGUAGAACCUACACUGAAAUGCUACUGGCAAGUGUUACAGGCAUGUAAUUAACAAUUGUCUAGGCCUGGUAAUCCAGGGAAGAAUUUAUAAAGAGAAAGAUGUUGUGAAUUUGAACAGGCAAUAUUCAGUAUAAUUACUAUUGUCAUUUUACAUUUGAAGAAACAGAAACACAGAAGUUUAGGGUGCUUUCCCAAAAUGACACAUCAGAAUAUAGAGGCCAGUAUUUGAACUCAGGAAGGUUGACUCCAGACACUAUAUACUUAAUCAAAUGGACAAUAACCUUGUUUUAAAUUUUUCACAAUUAUAAACAAAGCCACAGAGGAUAUAUGUGCAUCUGGGUUUACAUGCUGAUUAUAAUUUUGGUGGUGACCUAAAAAUAAUUAAUGUUGUCAAUCCUUAGAUUUUGUAAAUUACUACCUUAUAGCUGAAGCUACCAUCUAAUUUCACAGCCCAUGUUUCAUUUGUUUUUCAUAAUCAUGUCAAUGCCAGAUUAUGAUGCCAAAGUGACAGAAUUUAACUUUCAAUACAUUGGUAAGCAAGACUGACAGCAUGUAACUUGCAUGUUUUAAUGUAAAAAUGAUAAUACUUAUUCUUCAUCUGCCAUUGCAUUCUUCAUUACUUUAGUGUUUAUAAUGUCAAAACUAUUCUUUUUUAGCAAUGGGUUGUAACC